AACGAACGCUGGCGGCAGGCCUAACACAUGCAAGUCGAACGCACCGCAAGGUGAGCGGCGCACGGGUGAGUAACACGUGGGAAUGUAUCCUUUGGUUCGGAAUAACGUCUGGAAACGGACGCUAAUACCGGAUGAGCCCUUAGGGGGAAAGAUUUAUCGCCGAAGGAGCAGCCCGCGUCUGAUUAGGUAGUUGGUGGGGUAAAAGCCUACCAAGCCGACGAUCAGUAGCUGGUCUGAGAGGAUGAUCAGCCACACUGGGACUGAGACACGGCCCAGACUCCUACGGGAGGCAGCAGUGGGGAAUAUUGGACAAUGGGCGCAAGCCUGAUCCAGCCAUGCCGCGUGAGUGAUGAAGGCCUUCGGGUUGUAAAGCUCUUUCGCACACGACGAUGAUGACGGUAGUGUGAGAAGAAGCCCCGGCCAACUUCGUGCCAGCAGCCGCAGUAACAC
rnacentral:rRNA from 1 species